UACGGGGGAUGCAAGCGUUAUCCGGAUUUAUUGGGUUUAAAGGGUGCGUAGGCUGUGAGGUAAGUCAGCGGUGAAAUGCCCCCGCUCAACGGGGUGAAGUGCCAUUGAUACUGCCUUGCUGGAAUGCGGAUGCCGUGGGAGGAAUGUGUGGUGUAGCGGUGAAAUGCAUAGAUAUCACACAGAACACCGAUUGCGAAGGCAUCUCACGAAUUCGCGAUUGACGCUGAUGCACGAAAGCGUGGGUAUCAAACAGG
rnacentral:rRNA from 1 species